UUUCAGAGUGGGUAAUCACGUGAAAGUCAAGAUGGCGACGUCAAUGCCGAUACAGUUGAUGUUUGGCUCGAUACAUGUUUUGUCAAAAGCGUAAACGACACCGUGCAUUGAAGAAAUCACAGGGCAUGAUGGCAUAUGUUUCUACCAGCCUAGAACAGCCGCGCUCUGUGUAAACCGGGAUUAAUUAGGCUUUCUACAUGCAGAAACAUUCGGCCUUCUUCAUACAGAAACAUUCGGCCUUCUUCAUACAGAAACAUUUUGCCUUCUUCAUACAGAAACAUUCGGCCUUCUUCACACAGAAACAUUCGGCCUUCUUCAUACAGAAACAUUCGGCCUACUUCAUACAAAAACAUUCGGCCUUCUUCAUACAGAAACAUUCGGCCUUCUUCAUACAGAAACAUUCGGCGUAAGCAAUGUUCGUCAAUACUGUGACAAGCACUAAGCUGUAAAGUCAUAAUUGUUCUUUCGCGGGACAUAAAUUUGUACCAAAAUUGACCGACGCAAAUACAUGAAUCUACGAGUCCUUUACCUUUUAACCACGAAAUAAAAUGAUCUUACAUAAUUGAGGCCUGAAUUACAUGAUAAUGACAUUCCUCCAUUUACAACUUGUUCACAUGAGUGAUUAUACAACUUUAUAACAUAAUAAAAAAAAAAUAUUAAAGAAAAAAAUAUUAUCGUUCUUGGAAAUGGGAUAAAUGCAUGUGCAAAAGGUAUCGUCCCAGAUUAGCCUGUGCAAUCCUCACAGGCUAAUCUGGGACGAAAUCAGCCGGUGCAGUCAUCACAGGCUAUCUGUGGCGACAGUACAUGCAUUUAGUCUAGUUGUCCCAGAAAGAGGCCAUGAAAAUGUUGGACACAUUUAUUUAAAAUCUUCAUUCUCCGCCUUCACGCUCUAUUUAGCACUUAUUGCUCUGUGUUCUACACAUCAUACAAGCCAAUUGACCAGCAGUUAUAGUCAGUCAUAGUUACACGUGAUUUGUGGUAAGGCCAAAAUUAGAGUUCAUUUGUUACAUCUAACAUCUCAUAGACUUGGGUUGAUAGGACAGCCAAACUUGUUUCUGUUUAGUUUCUUCUGACGUUCGUGUUAUAUCAACUUGAAUACAAAUAUGUAUUGGCAUGAAGAGAUCUUCCAAAUAUGUAAUACACAUGAUCUCUUUAGGUAAUUGUAGUACAUGUAUGUUCAUAGUUGAUUACUUAACAGGAUAGAAUGUAACAAAAUGAUCGAAAAGUUAAUUUAGCGAAUAUACUCAAAUGAAGUAAGUUCGCCGUGGCGUUAUGGAUAUGGUGUCCGCCAAGCGAUCGGGAGGUCACGGAUUCGAUUCCCACUCGGGGAGCAUUCUCUAGAUCUUCCCUAAAGGCACCAAGUACUGGUUCUAUGCCCAGGAAUCGGACUCGAGAGCGUUUAUAUAAGCCGGAGGCUUUCGAUGCAAUCGAGCUAAAAUAAAUAGGCAUAAACUAAAUACAGUAAAAAUUGAUAGGCAACACAAUUCCUCAAUCUUCAGACAUGCCCAGACCCGUUAUUCUCCAACACAAUUCCUCAAUCUUCAGACAUGCCCAGACCCGUUAUUCUCCAACACAAUUCCUCAAUCUUCAGACAUGCCCAGACCCGUUAUUCUCCAACACAAUUCCUCAAUCUUCAGACAUGCCCAGACCCGUUAUUCUCCAACACAAUUCCUCAAUCUUCAGACAUGCCCAGACCCGUUAUAUCAACACAAUUCCUCAAUCUUUAGACAUUCCCAGACCCGUUAUUCUCCAACACAAUUCCUCAAUCUUCAGACAUGCCCAGACCCGUUAUUCUCCAUAUUUAAGAAAAGAUUGUAAAUAUUAUGAUUACCACCAUUUUUAUGGAUGAUUAUAUGAUUAUAUCGGAGAUAAUUUCAAGUCUUGUCUUAGCAAAAUUUCAGUUCAGACGGAAAGUGUAAUAGCCUCUGUGAUUAGCCUCUGCGGACUGCAUAGGCUAAUCUGGAACGACAAUAAACACACAUGCCUUUAACCCUGCUUUCCCAGAACGAUGAUCAUAUGAUCAAUAUUCGUCAGUAACACACAAUAUUCUAUUUUUGAGGGUUAAAUCCAUGUUCAA